CUGGACCAGGCCCCUCCUGAGAGGUGAUGCUUCUCUGUCAAAACUUUGAGGCACCUUCUGUUCCGACUGCUGCUGGGCUGUAUCUUCUAUCCACAGAUUCACAUCGGAAUUUCACAUCCUUCUUUCUGCAACCCCAUUUCCAAAGGGAGACCAUCCCCACAUCCUUCAAGGCAGGCUAGGGGUCUCCAUAGCGCAGCAUUGGACCAUCUGCUUUGCAUGCAGGCCUUCUGUCCUGGGAAUGCCCCCCCCAUUCGAAACCCUGGAUAGCUGCUGCCAGUCAGCGCAGGCUAGUUGAAGAAGGAUAUUGAGCAGCUGGAAGGUGAGCAGAGGAGGGCGACCAGGAUGAUGAAGGGUCUGGAAACCAAGCCUGAUGAGGAACAGUUGAGGCAGCUGGGUAUGUUUAGCCUGGAGAAGAGGAGACAGAGAGGAGAGCCAUCUUCCAAUAUCUGAGGGCUGCAAGAGGGAGCAAGGUGAGAUGUGCUGCCGCUGCAGGUUUGAUGAGUUAAAAGGUACGUUUCCCUAGUUUGCCACAUCCUAGUAUAUUAUAGGUUGAUUCCAGACAGGUUUUAUUGUGGGAUUGGCACUGCUCUCGCAUACACCCCCAUGACAUCAGCAUCAAAAUGCUAGGCUGUGUUUCAUUCCUUUUAUAUUCAGUUUCGCAGUUUUCACAGAAAACCAGACAAGUAAAAAACAGAAACAAUAACCCUGCUGCCAACUUCCCAUUUGCAAUUUCUGAAUGGCCAGUUUACAAGAUUAAGUCCCCAGUUGGAAGCACCCACAGACAUUUCAGUUGCCGCACAACUGGGCUGGGGAUAGGGCAGGAUGCAAUCAUAUUGUGCAAUUCAAAUGUUUGUACAUAGCACUAGCAAAGGUGCAAGAUCCUGCUGGUGGGUAAAUACGUAUUGGAAGGUAUAUGCUUGAGGGUUUCCUAUAGACAUCUAGCUGGUCACUGUGAGAACAGGAUUCUGUUCCAGAUAGGAUUCAGCAGGGCUCUUCUCAGUGGCGUAGCUAGCCGCUCGGGUGCCGGGUGCAGUCCGUGCGUCCUGCAGCCGGGGGUGGGGCAAGCCACCCAUGGAGCCAGGGUGCGCUGUGUGGAGCCUCUCUGCUGCCUCCCCCUUGGCUGUAGGGCAGGUGAGGGAGAGACAGAGGGCAGACGCAAGUCCCACACUGCCGUUUCAGGCAGCGCAGAGCCUGCAGGCCCCCAAGCCACCAUGUCACUCCCAGGAGAGUUGCGUGGCUCGUGCACACUGCAGGCCCCAUGGUAAGUGCUGGCCUCUGUGGUGUGGCACCCAGUGCCAGCCACGUUUCGUUACAUUUGUUGACCGAACUAAAACGUUUUGUGAGCCCAUUUUUUUUUCAAAAAAAGAAAAGAAAACCUCAUUUUUUCCACCCUCCUCAGUGAUGACACCUGGGGCAACCCAUCCCCCCACCCCUCACCCCUUCCUCCGCCACUGACUGAGACAGUUUAUUAUUAUUUUUUUUAAAGUAAUUUUUAUUAAAGUUUUAUACAACAAAGAAGUAAAAGAAAAACAUACACAAUACAUAUAACAAAAACACAAAUAACAAAAAAAAAAGCAAAAUUCAACAAUAAAAAUACAAGAAACAUAACAAUUUAAAAACAAUAUCUCUGUUUCAUUUCCGUUUUUUAGUUGCUUAUUUUCUGGACUUCCUCAUACCUCCCUCUUUUGUAUUCCAAUCCAAAUUAUUUGUCCAGCAGUUUCUUUUCCACUUUUUAAUCCCAAUCUUUAAUUUGAUAAGAUAUUAAAAUAUAUAGCUUCAACUUCUUUAAACCUAAUCCUUGGUCUUAAUAUCAUAUACCAUUAAAAUCUUCCCUCUUAAUAUCAAAUUUCCAUUUCUUUAAACAUCUUUAAUCUUAAUCUUUAAUCUUAAUCUAUCAUUAGCUUUAACCUGUACAGCUGGAAACCUCUUGUUUUCAGUCCAACAUCACUCUAACAUUCCUUAAUUUUACAGUGUUUCUGAAGGUAGGGUUCUGAGACAGUUUAUUAUACCCAUACAAAGGUGACCAUAUACUUUCAUUUUUUUAUUUUUUUAAAAAUGAUAUUUAUUGAGAAUUUUAAGAUUACAAAAAAACAAAGAAAAAAAGAAGGAAAAAACAAGAAAAAAACAAAUAACAAUUAAACAAUACAGAUCAAUAAAAAGCAAAAGCAAAACACAUAAUACAUCAAAAUCAAAAAGAAAAAAUAAACAAAAAAAAUUUAAAAACAGAUCCAGUAUUCCCAAAUCCUUAACUGUCAUUACCUUAUUUCAUUGACCUCCUCACACCUCCCUUUUUUGUAUUCUAGUUGUUAAUUAUCUCAGCAAAUCCUUUCCAUCUUUCAUAAUAUUCUGUCGUUAAAUUACCUUAAUCUAUUUUAACCUUAUCUUACCAUAAAAAACACUAAAACUUAAAACUUAAAUCUUAUUUAUACCAAUUUCUCAUAACCAUAACAUAUUCUUACAUAAUUCUUUUUAACAUUUCUGCUAAAGCCAAAUAAUUUCGUUCCAACAUUUUUCUAAUACUCAUUAAUUUUACAAAACCUUCCUAAAUAAAUUUUUAAAACUUUCUUCCAAUCUUCAUCCAACGUCUCUUCCUCCUGGUCUCGGGUUUUGUCAGUCCUUUCUAUCCCAUCCAUCUAGUUCAUUAACCUGGUAGCCUUAUGUCCGAGGCCCUUAAAUCUCUUCCAUGUCCCUUCCGCAGGUCUUCUUCAUAUUUAUACCUGUACUUUACUUUGUCUUCUGCUCCUUUCACUCGUGGAGACUCCAGCUUGACGAUAUUUUUGUCCCUUCUCGACAGAUCAGCCCCUUUUCCAUAAUCAACACUGAACUCCAUGUGGUAUUUAAAAGCAUAUUUCAAGGUCCCUCCAAAGUUAAGGGCCCCCACGACUUCGAACUCCUCCCGGCCCAAAGUCAGACUUGAAAGGUCAAAACACCCCUGCAUAGGGGGGUCUAUCCAGCCCCCCAUCUCCAAGCCAAGCAAGACUCUCCAAAUCUGGCUUUUUCCAGGUUCAUUUGUCAGAUCCAACAACUCACGUUCCUGCUGGGCCACAGUUCCCUCCAUCUCUGCCUCCUGAGGUCCAGCAACAACCUCCUCCCUCAUCUGAUCUGUCAGAGCACACUCCUGGAUUAAUUCCUGAGUGGGUUCUAUAUAGAUACCCACUGCCUGUCCAAAAUUUUCAAUCGCAACUGUCAUCAAAUCCGUCUUCUCAUGUAGCUGUUCCAAUAAAGCACUUGUCUUGCAGAAAGCACACACCAAAGCCUCUGAGUACAUUCUUGUGCAAGGUCAGAGUCUGUUCCCAUGAUCUUAAUCUAUUGCAGCUACAAAGCUUCCCAGUUCAGAUUUAAUAACAGUUUCACAAGCUCCCUCUAGGGGAAAAAGCUUCUAUUUGUAUCCAUCUCUCUCUCUUUUUUUUUUUUAAAAAGCAGAUCUAACAACAAAGUUUCCUUUUUCAGAUAUUUUGUCAAUAUUUUGUUCCUUUUAAAUGAGAUGGGAACAAUGGAAUCAAUAUGUUUCUCUUCUUUUAACUAUCUGUCAAAAACGUUUGUCUAUAGUCAAUGAACUUCCUGAGGACGUCUGUCCUGACACCCCGCUCCCAGGUUCAAGACGGUGGAAAAUUACUUUUCUUUACACUCUCUUCUGCAGGUUUAAACAGUCCAGAAAAAGUUCCCCCCUCUUCUCCUGCUUCCAAGGGGGGUUCAGUAAUUUUAGAUGAUGAAAAUUGAUCCUUUACAGACGACUUUCUAAACUCUAGCUUGCCGUGUCUUUGCUUUAAUCUAUCUACAAAGCGGAAGGCAGACUUCCUGUUUAGACCUUCCCGCUUCAGUGCCAAAUUAAAAGAAAUUUCUUAGUCCAAUUUUCCGUUCUACUCACGAACAGUUAUUUAAGAUCCAAUUGUCCACAGGAAAAAGUCAGCGCUCUCCGGCAACAGCAAUGUGGCUUCACUCCCUGAAAGAAGCAGUCGAUUCGAAGCACCGCGCCACACCCCACAUCGCUCUGUAUCCCCGAAACCGGGGUUCCCCGCGAGUAGGGGGGGGCGCAAAGGUGCCAGCCGAAUCCCACGUCCACAGGCUUCUCCCACCUGUGGUUUUUGAUGGGUCUCCGCCUCGCCGUGGCGGUUCAGACCCUUUUUUCCACGGAGCGGAUUCCUCCCGAUCGGAGGAAAUCCGCCAUUGCCAGAGGCGCCAACCCGGAAGUCACCCAUACAAAGGUGACCAUAUACUUUCAGAAAUACUAACCAGUCCUUCUUUUGACUUUCAACUUUUGAGUCAGAAAUUGAACAUGACUAAUGCUUUGAUGUCCUUGGUUGAAGGUAACCCCUACAUGCUCAGAUGUGAUUUUCUCUUUCCUUACAUAGUCUCGUGUUCAAAGUCUUUGAAAAGCUGACGUUAAAUCUAAGUCCAAUCCACGUCCUCAUUUAGAAUGCCGAAUAAAACAAAGCCACUUCCUGCAAAGAUCGGAAGGGACAGCUCUGUGGGAAGACCUGCUGGGAUGAGCAGUUUAUGAUGUUGUGGAUCUCAGCGGGCUGAUUUCCAGCUCAGCUGGUGUUAAGCCCCCAUCCCCAGCUCAGCUGAAGAUAUGCCAGCAUAACUUGCUCAUCCCAGCUCAGCCAUAGCUCAGCUGGCUGAGUUGAAACUGAUGGAGCCAUUUAUGGUAUAAGCCAUGGGUAGGCAAACUAAGGCCCAGGGGCCAGAUGUCACCUUCUAAAUCUGGCCUGCAGACAGUCCAGGAAUCAGCGUGUUUUUACAUGAGUAGAAUGUGUCCUUUUAUUUAAAAUGCAUCUCUGGGUUAUUUGUGGGGCAUAGGAAUUUGUUCAUUUUCUUCUUCGAAAUAUAGCCUGGCCCCCACAAGGUCUGAGGGACAAUGGACUGGCCCCCUGCUGAAAAAGAUUGCUGACCCCUGGUGUAAGCAGUGGUGUAAUGGGGGGGGAGCCUCAGGAGAGGUUGCACCGGGCCCAAAAUUGCUAGGGGGCACAAAAUUUCAACACCUGGCGCUGCCUGAAUUCAGCCGCAUGCUUCUGUUGUUGGGCUCUGUUGAAAGGGCUCUGUUGAAAAUGGCUUCUCCAUGCGAACCAGGAAGUGACCUCUCCAGACAAUGGGACAACUCUUCUUUUCUUAUCUCGGUGGCUGUAAGCUCCUGGGUGAUGCGGACGCUGUUAGACACUUAAAUGCGCAUGCAUACUCUGUCGGUUUCCCACCCUCCCACUCACCCCUCCAUGCAGUCCCGGGCUCUGACAACCCACGCUACGCCACUGGGUAUAAGUGCACCCAAAAGGGACAUUCAGAAGGGAAAGGAGAUUUAGGCUGGAUCCCAAGCCCGUUCUGCUCAGUCAUGUGAUCUGGCAACCCAACAUAAAACACUAUUUUAAAGGUUUCUUUCCCCUUUGCCAUGCUUAGGCAGAGCAACAGCAGAAGCCCUGCUGCUGAAUGUGUUCCAAUGUGGUGUAACUUUACACCAGCUUGCUUUGUGCCACCCUUUUGCACAUGGGAUUGAAAUCCCCAGCAUCCCCCAUGCCUGUCAAGGGAGCUGACACGUAGCACACUUUGCAGAGCAGAGAGAGAAGGCAACCCCUGCUAACUUGCAGUUAGUCCUUUUAAGGGACGCAGGUGGCGCUGUAGUCUAAACCAUUGAGCCUCUUGGGCUUGCCGAUCAGAAGGUUGGCGGUUCGAAUCCCCACAAUGGAGUGAGCUCCCGUUGCUCUAUCCCAGCACCUGCCAACCUAGCAGAUCAAAAGCACGCCAGUGCAAGUAGAUGAAUAGGUGCCACUGUGGUGGGAAGGUAAAUGGCGUUUCCAUGCACUAUGGUUUCCAUCAUGAUGUUCUGUUGCUCCAGAAGCAAUUUAGUCAUGCUGGCCACAUGCCCCGAAAGCUGUCUGUGGACAAACACCGGCUCCCUCGGCCUGAAAGCGAGAUGAGCGCCGUAACCCCAUAGUUGCCUUUGACUGGACUUAACCACCCAAGGGUCCUUUACCUUACCUUUACAUUUACCUAGUCCCUUUAUUAAUGAAUCAGAACAGAAAACACAUGGAGACUCGAGCGACAUACUCCACCAUAGCGAACAGCUUCUCAGACUGUCUUGCACCUCUGACUUCACUCCAUUCCCUCUGCGUCAGGCCCUUCCCUCUGUCUAUGGCGAGCUCUAAGGGACCCUCUCUGUCUCUGCUUGGCUCUCUGUUCUGUUAUAUGUCGCAAAUGGGAGGAGCUGCCAGGCUGCCAGCAGAAACACUGUUCCGGGGGGGUCUGUAAAGCUGCUAAGUCUGACUCCUCUCCUUGCUCUGUGCUGGGGCACCUGCCUGUUUUCCCCUUUUCCUCAUCCUCCAAGCUCCCAGUCUCUAGUACAUCCCAGCUCUUCCCCUCCUCUGGGGUGCAUCCGGUUGCCCAGGAUCCCGGGUCCAAAUUCUCUUUCUUUGCACUUUCCCUGAGAGGGCUCUCGGUCAGGCGGUUUCUACCACUCCACCUCACCUAGUCAGUCCCUGACAAUGCCCUUAGCAAUCCUCAAUGUAUGGGUCAGCCCUCAAUGCAUAAGGAUUUAUUGUGGCAGUUUGCUUGGUCCUGAUGAAGGUACUCUACUUUUGCUUGGAAAUAAUUCUUCUGCUGAACCAUCUGGAAUUUUGAGUGUGUGUGUGGUUUAUUACAAAACUCCAUUUAAGCAUUAUGAAGUAUUUGAAUGCUGACAUAUUUAAUAGCACCGGAGAUGUUCUCCAUGUGUUCAUGAUCUGCCUGUUGCCCUCAGACAUCAGACCUUGAGGGAAGUACACUCUGGCCUCUGCCAUUGGCCAGGGACCCAAGGGACCGAGGGAGGCCACAGCCCCUGCCUCCCAGGAAGAACAUUAUGGCCAGAGGAAGACAAGUCUGUCCCCAUCCAUCAGGAAGCAAUGAGUUUGUUUCCUCCUUGCCUGCCAGAAAGAACACUUGGCUCCAAUUGCAGAGCAGAAGGGAAGUACACUAUGGCCCCAUCCAUCAGCCAGGGGACGAAAGACUGCUGGGUCAUUUUCAGACCCUCCAUCCAAGCAAGACCACCAGGGCUGGAAGAUCAGCCUGGUCCCAAACUGUAUAUAAAUCCCUGUUUUUAGUUCACCACUUUGUUUCUGGCACUGUCAAACUGUUCUCCCUUUCCCCCUUCCAUUCCCCUCCCCUUCUACGUUUUCUCUUUUUAGAUUUGUCAGCCUGCCUCUCCUUCUCCAAGCUUGGUUCUUAUUUGGAUGGGGUCACUGGAGGCAGGUAACAGGUUUAUCCCACUCCUCAGCUGAGUACUCUUUUGCUUUCUCACAUGUAAGCAAAGAAGUGAGAACUACAAAGCGUGUUCUCCUUCAUGGAGAGCACGUGUUGUGGUGGGGUCUAACAAGACAUCCCACUGUUGCUGGGCGGGAAAGAUAAGUUGGCCACCGUUGCGACUGGGCUCUUCUUGUCGUUGGGGAGAAUUCGAUGUUGCCAUUUUGUGAUUGACAGCCAUAAGCUUUAUAUUCCCUGCGCGCAGCAUUGAGCUUCCUCUUUUCGCUGCGUGCAUCGGAUCACCCUCCCACCCUCCCUAUAUUUAGGGUUUUUCGCUUGACCUUGCUAUGCCUGUCAUGGGGUCGUCUGCUUUUGGGGCAGGGGCCUGGUAGGAAUUUUGUUCAUUUGGCUGAUCGGCUGGUGCCAUUUGGUUUUUGCCUACUGCGCAGCAAAUCGUCACAACUUGUAAGGUUGCGGUUAGGCAUUGGUUUUAUGAAUUGGUUGGUGGAGGGGCAUGGAUUGGCUGUGCCUGCCCCUCCAAUACUGCUGCUGCAAGAGUAUUCCGUUAAAGGAAUCCAGGGGCUUGCCAUGCUUUUGUCUGAAUCCUGUCAAGGGGCUAGGGCCACGCAAGAGCCCCUGGGAGCAUUUGGGGAGAGGUGAGGGCAUGGUACCCAGCUCCAUCUUUCUCCCCAUUCGCGGGCAUGCAAAUGUCAGUCUGUCCCCCAUGGUGGGGUCAGAUAGUCGCAACCAAUGCCUCAGCAACCACUCACAUUUUUUGUAUUUUAAUAAAGUUGUGGCCAAAAUUAUGCCAAAAACCUUAAACAAAAAUUAUGUGUGAAUUGUGUUUUAUUUGGGGUGGCCUGGGGACCUCAACACGCAACACAAUGUGUGGAUGGCUGUUCAGAGUGCCAGUCAGCCAGCCAUUCCAUUCCAGGAUACUCCAUUCUAUUCCCUCUUUUCUAGAUUUCGUUUCUAUAAACAGUCAGUAUUCGGUCACCACUGAGUAUACCCAGCCCUCAUUGGAAUGAUUUCGGUUCUUUCCCUUGCCCUUUAGCUUUGGAUGUGCAGCAUUCCUGCGCUCAUAGCAUUGCAAUGAUUACAAGUCAGUUCCCAUGGGGAAAACGGUGAGGCUAUAUUCCUGAUCAGGUUUGAAAAUAUUUAUGCAAAUCUGUUUUCCCAGAGCUGUACACGAGCUGCUCAACCUUGCAAGAUUUGCUGGAGCUACCCAGAAAGAAUAAGGUCAGAGCAAAAAAAUAAAAAAAUAAAAAUGUAUUGAACAUUUCAGGUCCCCUUCUAGAAUGAACACAUACAACAGAAACACUCGUGUUUUCUUUUGAGAGACAGAGAGAAGUUUGUUCAUUCUUGCUGGUGACUGAGCUCACUGCAGGAAGCCAGAAGCAGAUCUUGCUUGCCAUAAACCCAAUGGUGUUUUUCCCAUAUAAAUAAAUGGUUCCCAUUCUUUCAUAUCUGAAAUAGGUAAAGUGAUGUCCUUGGGGAUACUGUCCUGUUGAGGGCAUGGUGUGUGUGUGUGUGUAAAUUUGUCUCUGCGCAGAAUGCACUGCACCCUCAGGGCUCUUUAUGAAUUGAAGGCUUUUCUCAAAACACACGUACCGACAAUGACAUCUUGCUAGUUAAAAAGAAAAAGCAUAGCCAUGACACUGAACUCCAGUGCUAAUGCUGCAGCUCAGGGAAAGCUCUUUAGAAGAGAGAGAAAAAAAUGCCUAUGAAUGGAUCUUACCUGAGCUUGCUUAUUGCUGCUUGCUCAGGACCUUAGGCAAAUAUUUGUUUUCUACUGUGGUACAUAUUUGGCAUUGUUUGAGCUAACCCUUCUUUCAGAGUACAUAUAGUUUUGUAAAAAUGCCAAUACCUCGCUUUUGAAACACAGUUUAUGCAAUCUCGGAAUGUCAUUGCAUGCUUGUUUUCCAGCAGGGAUAUUCAUACUUUCAUCACCUUAUCAGUAGAUCGUUAAGGAGAAAUUUCUCCUGCGAUUCUUUAUGCCCCACAAGGUAGGCAGCGUGUCAUAAUCUUAAGUUGCUCAGAUCACUAAGGCUGUGAUCCUAAGCUUAUGCACUACGAAGAAAAGGCAUUCUACUUUGCUCAGGGCUGUUUCACAAAUUACAUGGUAGACAUUUCAAGUUGCCACACUGAGUUUAUUCCCAUCAGGGAACAGUAACUCAACAGACACCUGGGUGAGUGUACUUGUCUGUUACACAUGUUUUCACAAAUGCGAUUGUCAUAUUCAUGGUUGCCAUUUGCAAGGGAACAAAAGUACAAAAUUGGGCCUGAGUGUCUAAACCUGCAAAUUACUUUCCCAAUGUAUAAAAAGCAAAGAAGUUUAAAUCCACAUUUAACACGUGCACACACAAAUUUAGAAGAUAUAUAUCAAAUACAAUCUAAAAUCUCAUUGUUAUAAUCAUGGCAAUAUAAAAUUACAUCAGAACAUCAUCUUAUAUGGCCAGCAAAAUGUGACCAACGAUAUUGCUAUAGGCCAAAGAUGUUUCAACCCUAGAAGGGUCUUCUCAAAUGGUCAAUAUGCUUAAAUAUCAGUGUUGUCACCAAAUAUGACUCUUAGCUAGUCUGUAUAGACUUCAUGGACUGAGCUAUCUUAUCCAUAGAAAAUGUCAUGCCCUUUAAUAGAGCUGAAUGUAUGUAUGUUGUUAUGUAGCUUGCCCGAUCAUUUGUGAUUCAGGGGUUUACUCCAAGACGUUAGCUUUCAAAGGUCAGCCAGCAAACAUGCAUUUUUAAAUGUGCAUGCCAUAUCAAGAACACUGUACUCCAGAAACAGUGAUGGUUCCCCACCCCCACCCCCACCCCCAAAUAAUGUGCAAAACAGAAGCAAAUCCCUUUCUAGUGCAUGAUAAAGUACAUAAACUCUGUCAUUUGGCCUGUUCUGCUGAGGCAAGGGAUCCCUGCAGAAUUGACUCUAUGGCCACAGGAUUUCCUGCUGCUGCCCAGAUGUGCCACAAAUUCCCUGUUGGGUUUGGGAUGUUUUUUUUACAUUAAUUAAGGACAUACGAAGUAGCAUCUGCUCAGUAUAGCCUAUGUACGCUAGCCUUUCCCAAACCUUGUGCUGUCAGAUGCUUUUAGAAUACAGUUCCUAUCAUCCUUGACCAUUAACCAUGCAUUCCCUCCCUCCCACCCCUCUGUGCAGCCCUGGACACUGGUAACCCACGCUAUGCCACUGGGCAAAAGGUUGGGGAAGGCUGGUAAAUGCUAAUUGCCUAGUGCUGAUUCCCUGAGUGUGGAUCAGUGCCACCAUCCGCAUCUGUAGGGCUGAGUGAACCCAAAGGUUAUUUACCAAAAAAAAGACAAAGAAAACCCUUAGCAGGGGGAGGGGGACACCCAAACAGCCCAAUAAGGACUGAACAUUCUGAGUUGUUCUACAAGAUGCUGGCUGAAAAGUGGACUGGACUGGUAAAGGGACCCCUGACCAUUAGGUCCAGUCGUGGCCGACUCUGGGGUUGCAGCGCUCAUCUCGCUUUGUUGGCUGAGGGAGCCGGCGUACAGCUUCCGGGUCAUGUGGCCAGCAUGACUAAGCCGCUUCUGGCGUACCAUAGCACUGCAUGGAAACACCAUUUACCUUUCCACUGGAGCAAUACCUAUUUAUCUACUUGCACUUUGACAUGCUUUUGAACUGCUAGGUUGGCAGGAGCAGGGACUGAGCAACGGGAGCUCACCCCGUCACGGGGAUUCGAACCGCCGACCUUCUGAUCGGCAAGUCCUAGGCUCUGUGGUUUAACCCACAGCACAACCCGCGUCUCUUAGAGUGGGGUGGGGUGGGGAGAUGGAAAAUCAGGGCAGAGAGAGGUUUUAAUAUAGAGUGUCCUGGUUGGUUAUAUUUUGCUCCAGAUCUUACGGAAGGGUGACAUGGAUAUUUUUAAAAUAAAUAAAUAGUAAAUCCUCAGGGCAUUGCAUAACAAUCCCUGCUUAAGCCUCAAAGUGUUUUGUUUGAUCACUGGAUGUGCUCGAGUCAAAUAAAAGUUACAAUAUGGCAAUGUGGUCAGUAAAUGCUGAAUCAGGGAUUCCAGCCCCAUCUUCCUCUCUUUUUCCCCAAGGGCAAAAUCUGAAUAUAUUUCAUGUAAAGGAGUUGAGCUUUGGGGAUUAUUUAUAGGGAAUCUACUGAAAUAUGUAUAAGAUCCUAAUAUAGCAAUUAUAUUUUGUCUGCUAGGAUGUGGUCAACCACAACUUCUGCCUUGAACUCCAAGCCAACCCUCAUGCUAAAGCCAUCAGAGAACUUCUAUAGCUGGAUGAAUUUGUGGUAAAUAUGUGAAGAAAAGGUAGGUCACCUCCAAAGCAGUUCAACACCGUGCUGCCAUUCAUCUGGUAAAGUGGUUGGCUGCGUCUAUCCAAAGGGCAUAUGUCAAAGUCAAAAUUCACAAACACUUUGAAAUUGCAUAGCUCUGAAUAUGCUGCUUCCGUCCUUAAAUGCAAGUGUGGAAAACUAGUCUGCUUAUUAUAUAUUUGGAUAAUGAGACACUUGGGCUUCCAGUGAAAGAGAUGUAACCCCAAACUUGCUCUUUUAGAGGGAAUUCAACCUCACCCAGAACAGGUAACUUGCCAGGUAUUAGAAGAGGCCUCACAUUAAUUUGAGACAAAAUAAACAUGGAAAGCACACUUCCAUUGGUAAUCAUAAUUAUGCCCAAGAAAAAAUUACAUAUCCUCCAAGUGUCCCUAUUUUCCAGGAAUGUCCUUGAUUUAGAGAAGCCAUCCCAGUUUCAGAUUUGAUCCCAGAAUGUCCCACUUUUCCUUAGGAUGUGGCUAAUUUCAUUGGAGAACUGUUGGAGGGUAUGGAGUUAUCCGACUCCCGAGCCAUCUGAAAGCAAUCCUGUAUAGGGAAGGUUUCUUUUUAAUGCUUUCUUAUGUCUUUAUAUAUGUUGGAAGCCGCCCAGAGUGUCUGAGACAACCUAGUAAGGUGUGUGGGGUAUAAAAAGUAAAUUAUCAUUAUGGAAUGGGACGUCCCUAUUUUCAGUGGAGAAAUGUUGGAGGGUAUGAAAUUAAAGUUUUAUUUACUUGUAAAACUCCGUUAAUAGAAAUCUACUAAUUCGCCUCAGUAGAGGAAUUUUAGAAUCAGUUUAGACUGAGUUUACACAACUUGGAACCCAAUGGCUAUCAAUUGAGUCCUGCCUCCAUGUUUCCAGUUGGAAGAAAAUACGAAUAAAUAAGAGAUUGCCUAUGUGACAGGCUCAGCUUUAUGGCCAGUUUACAAGGUAUGCAAAUUUGGCUUCAACUGUUGUGUGCAAUUUCUGCACAGUGCACCAACAAUACCUUCUAUUGUUUUGCUGAGGGCUCUGCAUUUCAUCUUUGACCAGGUGCUUGACUAUAUUAACAGUUGUGUUUCUAUAGUGAAGUAAACAUCAGUGCCUGAGGGAAUAUAUAUAUAUAUAUCAGUGUCACUUGCAAACACAUGGAAAGAAAGAUGAAGAACUGCAUAGUCCUUCAACUUUCUCCCAAUGGAUUAAUGGAUUUACUCCAGGUAGUUUUCAAUACAAUCAAAUAUUUGUGCAAAACAGUGAGUAAUCUGAGCACAGUUCUACCCAUAGACAGAUCUGAUGCUAUCAUGUUGUCCAUCAAUAAAUUAUGUCAUAUUUGUUCAUCAGAGACUAGCCUGCCAAGCCCAGAGACGGAUGCUUUGGAGUCCUGACUUCAACUGAAAUGCAUGUCUCUGUCAAUUAUGAAUCUAUCUUGCAAGCAGGGAUGAAAUAAAUCAGGACGGGUGUCAAGAAAACCGUCUCAGGUCACAUUCACAUUUGUGGUGCCAAAGAAACACCCUCUGUUCCCAUCUUUAAACAUAAGGCAACACCCCAAAACCACCGGGAUGCAAAUGCAGGAAUUGGCGCACGUAUUCCUAGCUGGAAUAACACACAUGUCCACACAUGUUUCUCCUUUGCAAUACAACAAUCAACAUACUUGAAAUUCCACAGGUCAGCUGGUUAUGGGAGAGUGUGGGAACUGGAGUCAGCAUCGCCUACAUCUUCUAUUCCAUCCAACGUGCAAAUCAGUGGGGUUUCAGCUGUUUAAAAACAAGGCUGUAUAGGCCUGCAGAGAUCACUGUAACUGUUGGACUAGCAACAGCCAACAAUGAAGAUGGGACAGCCUAGCAUCACCUUCCAUUCCCUGUUAAUGUAUUAAUACUGGCUUAACUUGCGGUUUGGAGUUGGGUGACACUGAUAUGCAGAGAACACCCAGCUCUCUCUCUCUCUCUUUUUCAUCUGAACCAUGAGUAGUGGUGGAGCCCAAAAUGGGUGCCUGGAGUCGGCUAACUUGGGUGGGAUUGAGGCUAACAAAAUAAUCGAGAUCAAGACAGGUACUGUUGGUGAAUUUCUUGGAAGUGGGAUUUGACCUGUUCUGGACAAGGUUACACUGCUGCUUGAGGAUUAGGUCAGAAGUAGCUUGCCAGAUUGCCCUUACCACUAUGUUAGCUUCCAGGCAGGUGGGUAGCUGUUGUUCACUGGGAGACAGGGGUGAGAUGGUGGGAAGGUCAAUAUAGUUCAGUUGCACCAACAAGAUUGACUCUGCCAGGGCGUUUCAUUAUGCCAGCCUCCCUGCACGACGCCCCUCCCAGCAAUUCACCUUCUUCUCACAUGUCCUCCUCAGGGUAAUCCUACAUUUGGGUGGUGUGUUUGUGCAGAGGCAAAUUGUGCAGAGUGGGACUGGUUCAGUUGCACUGGGUGUGGAGUCUCUGGGGUGCUACCGGGAAGGCCACAACUAUGAUUUAGAAUGGAGUAGCAAAGGGGUGCCAAAUUUUGGUGUUGCAGACGCGGGUGGCGCUGUGGGUUAAACCACAGAGCCUAGGCCUUGCCGAUCAGAAGGUUGGCGGUUCGAAUCCCCGCGACAGGGUGAACUCCCGUUGCUCGGUCCCUGAUCCUGCCAACCUAGCAGUUCGAAAGCAUGUCAAAGUGCAAGUAGAUAAACAGGUACCGCUCCGGCAGGAAGGUAAACAGCGUUUCUGUGCGCUGCUCUGGUUCGCCAGAAGCAGCUUAGUCAUGCUGGCCACAUGACCCGGAAGCUGUACGCCGGCUCCCUCGGCCUAUAAAGCAAGUUGAGCGCCGCAACCCCAGAGUCGGCCAUGGCUGGACCUAAUGGUCAGGGGUCCCUUUACCUUUACCUUAGGGUCAACAUACGUCCAGGAAAACUCAGACAUGCCCUCUUUUGGGGGACCAACAUGCCCAUCUGAGUGGAUUUUUACAUUUUAAAGGAAAUGUUUGGGGUUUGGGGCGUGUGGCUUGGGUGGCUGUCAGGGACUGGAUUGAGGGGGACGAGCCUGAGGAGGAAUGGUGGAGAUCGUCCCCCUCGACUUCCUCAACCUUGGCCCUCCAGAUGUUUUGAGACUACAAUUCCCAUCAUCCCUGACCACUGGUCCUGCUAGCUAGGGAUCAUGGGAGUUGUAGACCAAAAACAUCUGGAGGGCCGAGGUUGAAGAAGCCUGAAUUACAGCAUGGUUUGAGGGAGGUCACAGCUCAGAGACUGCUGAACAGAAGAGUUGGGAGGUGUUGGGAGAAGAGAAGGGGGAGACAGAGGCAGACCAGCCAGGUGACACGUUAUCACUGGAGAGUAUUUCUGACCCCCCUUCUCCCAGAACCUGGCGUUCAUUGAGAGUGCAAGAGCAAAGGACUCAGAGACAAUUAGCCUCUGGUGGCCACCAUAAGGGGAACUGCUGUAGCUAGGAAGAGAGGCAGGAGGAGCUCAGUUGAAGCAACGCCAUUAACGGCAGAUAAACUCCAUUCCUUUGUCUCUCAUGGUGAUGAUUGAAUCAACUUAUUAGUAAGAACUCUUCUUUUUCUCUGCUUCUUGCUGCUACCGGGGGAGGGAUAGAAUUUCUCCGAAGCAUGACAGUGGCUUGGGCUUGGGCUUGGGCUCAGACACAGGCAGCUCGGGUGUGGGCACGGGCUGCUGUUCAUGCCAUGGCCUCUGCCAGCCCAAGCCGGGGAAAGAGGCACAUGGGCACGACAGCAGUGGCCCUGCAUGCCUUUACCCACACACCUCAUUCCCCAGCUCGGGCUGGCAGCGGCUCAGGCUGUCCUCUUUUUUGCUCUUCGAGGUAUGGCAACCUCAGGUUGUGCAGGGAGCUGGUUAAAUGUGAGACCCCAAAAUCUGUCAUUGGGGUGUGUGUGUGUGUGUGUGUGUGUGUGUGUAUGUGUGUGUGUGUAAAACAAGUCAGCAGCCACCAAAGAGAGAUGAUCCAUUCAGGAAUAGGAUGGAGUGAAGGGCUCAGUCCCAACUCCCCUAUAUGCAUGAUAGGCCACCAGACUGAGCAUGUGUUAUACAGACCAAUCCCUCCAUGGGGAUUUCCUCUUUUGGGCCUUGCCAAAUGCACACAUGGUAUCCAUUUGAGUCUGUAGUUCCUGGUGCAGCUAAGGAUCUGAGCACAUAUGGACAUAACUGGAUCAGGGAAAUGGGAGGGAUUUGACACGUGUACUACGCUUAUGCCAGGAUGCAAAGAGUGUGCAGUCAAAAACCCUGGAAAAUAGGCUUUUUAAAGGAUUUUCAGUUCAACGGAAAUGCUGUCAAUGCUUGUAAACAUUGAAAACUAAGCUAAAACUCAAACCGCUCUGCUUCGUACUGGAGGGGCACUUAUCAAUUACAUAUGCAAACAGAAAAUGUUUUCCACUGAAACAGGCUUCUAAAUGAGCUUCUGUGUCUAGCUGAAAAUGAAAUCUUUGUAGGUUUUCAGAUCUACUGGAGUGAACUGAAAUUUUCUGUUCUAAUUCAUGAAGUCUUUAAAAACCUUGCUCUUAACUUAUCAAAAUACUUUUAAAUAUCUGGGGGUCAGUUCCACUAACAUGCGAACAUAGGCUUCCAUUUCCUUACCUCCCUCAUUGUGUUUACAGAGAAUGCAGUGUAAACUGUGUGUGCGUGUAGUUUGUGUAUAUGGAGAGAGGAAGAGGCCAUCUACAAGUUUGCAAUUUACCAGAGUUUAGUCUAUGAAGAAUGAGCUAUAAACAAAGACGGCCAAAGGCCACUUGCUUUGGCCAAGAAUGCUUGGGUUUCUGGCUAUAUUGUUUUCUUGGCCUUCAAGCUUUGUUCUUGCAACAUUCCGCCCCCCCCCCCAUAGAUGCUCAAACCAAAAAAUUCUGCACUAGUGCCUCUUUAUUAGCUAUAGCCCCAUGUAACAUGAUCUCUCAAUUUAUACUCAGAAUGAGCAUGUUUGUCCAACUCAUUUUCUGAUGCAUGUAUUGCCCAGGGAGGCACAUUAUGUGACCCAUGAGAACAGCAAAAGAACCAGACUGUACAACGCCGAUGGGAUAAAAUCCAGGCCAAAUCUUUAUUGACAGCAGCAGGCAGGGCAAGGGUUGGCAUGGCAUGGGGUCCCAGGAUCAGUUCAUCAUUCCACAAGCCCCACGUUGAUGGAAUGGAUCUGCCCCAAACCUGUUCCAUGGGAGUCGGCCAGUGUUGAACCUUGCUGUGGGGCAAACUGAGCAAGCAAAGUCUCACUGCAUGACCAGGGUGCAGAUUCCUACCAGGCAGAUACCCCAGCAUUGAGCUUCAGUCAAUCCUCCCUUUAGGCACCUUAUGGGGGCUCCUCUAUACCAGGGACAUUCAAUCCCCAAGAGACUGUGAUCUACUCCCGGGGAAAAAACCCUAAAAAACUAGCAGUGAUAUACCUAGGAGGGGGCAAAGCCAAACUUCUUGAGCUUUUUUUAGGGGAGCAAGCCAAACUUCUUGAACUUUUUUGGGGGGGGACACAUACUUCUGAUCCUUUGGGGGGGGGACAUGUCAUAAAUUGCUUGCCAGGUAGUAAACCCAGCAGUGAUAACUCCGUCGUCCGUAUUGGCAAUUGUGCGUGAGUGAUGGACAGAGCGAGGGGGCAGGGCCGGAUGCUCUUUUCCCCCUGCGGAGGAAAGUCAGCACGUAAUCAACCAUGAUCAAUCGCUAUCACCAGGGGAUUGACCUGUCAAUUGCAGUCGACUGGUUGGACACCCCUGCCCUAUACUAUGUUGAUCUAUGUUGAGAGCCAGUGUGGUGUAGUGGUUAAGAGCGGUAGACUCAUAAUCUGGUGAAUCGGGUUCGCGUCUCUGCUCCUCCAUAUGCGGCUGCUGGGUGACCUUCGGCUAGUCACACUUCUCUGAAGUCUCUCAGCCCCACUCACCUCAGAGAGUGUUUGUUGUGGGGGAGGAAGGGAAAGGAGAAUGUUAGCCGCUUUGAGACUCCUUAAAGGGAGUGAAAGGCGGGAUAUCAACUCCAAACUCUUCUUCUUCUUCUUCUUCUUCUUCUUCUUCUUCUUCUUCUUCUUCUUCUUCAUCUGCUCGAUGCCAUUUUUGCCCUCGUACAAACAACAUUCUUCUGCCUAACAAAGUAAGGCCAUAAUGUCACUGAAGGAAAGGUGGAAAAAGAGCCUCAACCAAGUGCCAAUCAGGUUGAGAGAGGAAAAAAUUAUUUCUGGCCCUAUCGACCAGCGCCCCAUAAUUUCUCAGUAACGGCUCUCACCCGAGAGCGGGUGGGCAGGAAUCUCUCAAGGCAAAAUGGCCUUGACCUCAAGGGGAAUCGGCCUUACGUAGGCUUUCCCCUCCCCUUUGCAAGGGCUCAUGGGAAUGCUUUUUUGCCUCAGUCCAGCCCAGUGGAUUCCAUUCCACCAGCAUCAGGUGAAUGGAAUGAUGUACUGAUCCUGGAGCCCUCCUGCCAUGCCAACUCCUACCCUACCUGCUGUGGUCAAUUAAGAUUUCAUUCCAACACCUGGUGUUCUGCCAGUUCAUUUGCUAUUCUUCUGGGUCACAUAUUACUCCUGUCAGGGCAAACACUUUCCCUUCUUGAAGACUGUCCUGUAUUUAAUAAAAUGUGAGAGAGUGGGACUAAAGAGUAAAUCUGCCAUUUGGUUACUCACUGUUUCUUAAGGUUCAAGAAAGAGAGACUGGUGUAUGCUAGCCAAAUUGGUCCACUUUAAAUUUCUGUAGGAUUCCCUUGUAUAUAUUCUCUUUCUCUCAGAGAUUCAGCCAAAGUAGAACCCUGUUAACUUCCAUUCACUUCCAUGGUAGACUAAAGCACAUGCUUCAUUCCAUGCUACUGAAAUCUGUGGGACUCAAACAUGCUUUAUUUUGACUAACUCGUACCCUAUACGCUUUAAGCCAGUCCUUUAUUCUGUGGCAGUUUGCCAUUUGGAAAAUACUUCCUCAAAUAUCGUAAAUAAUAUAUCAAAACAGGAAAGCCUGUUCCUUAUUUGGUGCCAUUUCCCUUUCUUCAAAAGCGUUUACCUUACGGCUACAUAUGUAGACUCUGCAUUCGAUGGCUUCCAAGAUAUUUUGGGGGGAGAAAUCUCAAAAUAACAUAAUAUGCAUUUUUAAAACAUCUGCUGCAGCUGAUGUCUUGUGGGGGAACCAAUAUGUUAACUUGCCCUCUGGUCAAUGAGUUCUUAGUGUGCUAAAGAAUAACACAGCAGCAGAUGUACAAUAAGAGCCGGGAGGCUGGAACAUUUGGACUUUCGCCUUGUUCGUGGUAAAAGGAAACUAACAGAGGCUGUGUAAAUACAACUCACCCUGCGUGGCUCCAAUAGAAAGAAUAUUGAUUUGCCUUUCAAAUCAUCAACGUAGUCUCUCUCUCUCUCUCUCUCUCUCUCUCUCUCUCUCUCACACACACACACACACACACACACACAAAAACACUGUAUGUUGGCACCAUCUCCAUUGAAAAAGUAGACCUCUUCUUCUACCAAACUGGCAUCCAGUCAGAAGAUUGACACUAACGCUAAGAUUGAUAUGGGAGCAGGUAUUUGAGGUCCCUUCUUGCUGCAUCACUGUGUUUGCUCACCAUCUUAACAUAAUAGCUAGUGCUUGAUUAACUUGAAACACCUCUUCCCAUAUGAACCUACCCAGACCCUGAGAUCAUCUUCUGAGGCCCUCCUUUGUGUGCCUCCUCCUCGAGAGGUCCAGAGGGUGGCAACUCAAGAACAGGUCUUUUAUGCAGCAGUGCUCUGUUUGUGGAAUGCUCUCCCCAGGAAGGUUCACAUGGAGCCUUCAUUGUACACCUUUAGGUAGAAAUGGAUAAAAGCCUCCCAUCCAAACGAUGACUAUCACCAGUGCAGGGAAGAAAAAAAUUAAAUUUUCAUUUUUAUCAUCUACAAUACUGUCUUAUUUAUUUUAUAGUACAGUACAUUGCUUAUUGCUUUCAUUUUAUGGAUCAAUGGCCUCACUAGAGAGUAAAAUUCAUGUUAAAUUGCUGUUUUAGGGGUUGUUUUUAAAAGUCUGGAAUGGAUUGAUUCAUUUUGCAUUACUUUCUAUGGGAAAGCACGCCUUGGUUUUGGAACGCUUUGGUUUUGGAACGGCCUUCCAGAAUGGAUUAAUUUUGAGAACCAAGGUACCACUGUAGUUUUAGGCAAUAGAAAUUGUUGUCUUAAUAUCAUGGGUCCAAUAAGGUCCUUACAAUAUUCUCAUCCUGUAUUAUGAUACAGUGGUACCUCGGGUUAAGUACUUAAUUCGUUUCGGAGGUCCGUUCUUAAGCUGAAACUGUUCUUAACCUGAAGCACCACCUUAGCUAAUGGGGCCUCCCACUGCUGCCGUGCCGCCGCUGCACAAUUUCUGUUCUCAUCCUGAAGCAAAGUUCUUAACCCGAGGUACUAUUUCUGGGUUAGAGGAGUCUGUAACCUGAAGCAUAUGUAACCUGAAGUGUAUGUAACCCGAGGUACCACUGUAAUGAGUUGAAUAUAUUGAUCCAGACAAGUGGGUGGCCGAAUGUAUGGAUGAAAGAAAAGAUCCAUCCAUCGAUUUUCUGUUGAAUUUCUAUUCUGAGACAUAAGAUUCCAAGCCAAAAGUUAAUAAAUGAGAAAGGCUUACUAUGUUUGUGGAGGGUAUCAUUGCUGAAAUCAUUGAAUAUCUUGGAUCUUGAUAUUUCUAAUCUGUUACUGAUAAUGAUUAGAUCUUAUUUGUUUGUUGCCCUAGAUAUGAUUUAAGACUUGCACCUUCGUUUUUGAAAUGUAAAACCUUUUAAAAGGUAACAACUAAGAAAAUAUAAAAAGAACUGAGGCUGCCUCCACACCUUACAAACAACUGUUUAUUUCUUACCCUUCCUUCUUUUAAUACUUCACGUGGCAUUAUUCAGUUUCGUUUUUACACAAGAGCCAAGUUCUCCCAUUCAUCAAGAUAAUGUUUAUAUUCUUCCUGUCCCAUUUGUCAGUGUUGGGUCAUUCUGCAUUGAUUGAGGGGUCGAGGUAACCUGAAAGUGUGUUUGCACGCACAAUGUGAAGCGCUCUCUCCAGACGCUUGGACCAGAUUUAUCUCGCCCUCCCCCACUUUCCUCUGGGAAGAAUUAAUGGAAACAGGAAAUCUGCAAACAUUUAAAAUGGAUAUAUGAGAUUAUUGAAAAAAUGCCUUUCCUACAAAUAGAGCUUUUAAAAGAAAAAUAAUCUGCAGUGUUUGGGACUAGUAUGAAGUUAACUCAAGCCACAUUUCAAAAUAGUGCAUAUGAUGUAUAUCACUCUCUUUAACUUUGUAUUAAUAAAGACCUUGGGAGCAGUAAUGAGAGACGCUUUGAGGCUGGCACUAGAUGCUGUCUAUCCCACACACAGGAUGUCAGAAUACCAACAUAUGGGGUAUGUAACCACCUUGGGCAGUUCCAGCAGGUGGCAGGCUGUGACCUGCAUAGGCAAGUGAUGAGGCUUGCUCAAAAUGGCAGAAUACCUGGCAAUUUAUAUAAUGGAAUCAUUGACAUUUUGCUAGUGAUUUAGUAUCACUGUAGGUUUCUUAGUUGUCACAGAGCUACUAUUCCCAGAGUUCCCUGUAAAGAAGGAUGAACUGUUCAACCAAUCUGGGAGAUGCAGCUCUGGGACAGGAAUACAGUGGUACCUCGGGUUAAGUACUUAAUUCGUUCCGGAGGUCCGUACUUAACCUGAAAUUGUUCUUAACCUGAAGCACCGCUUUAGCUAAUGGGGCCUCCCGCUGCCGCCGCACUGCCGGAGCACGAUUUCUGUUCUCAUCCUGAAGCAAAGUUCUUAACCUGAAGCACUAUUUCUGGGUUAGCAGAGUCUGUAACCUGAAGCGUAUGUAACCCGAGGUACCACUGUAGGGGUCUACUAGCAACCCUUAGCACCCUUAAACUACAGCUAACAAGAUUUUGGGGGGAAGCCAUUGCUGUUUAAAUAGGGCUGUCACAUGUCUGGGUUUUUGUGGGACACUUCCAGGAAUCAGGCCGCAAAACGGCGUCCGGGCGGAUUUUUGCCGAAUCAGCAAAAUGUCCAGAAAAACCCAGACAUAUAGCAAGGAGGGCAAUUAAAUAAUUUUAAAAAGCUUCAAAAUUUCCCCCAAAGCCCCAAAACUUAAUUUCUGGGGGGAGAUGUUCCCCAAAAAAGCUCAGCAACCAGAUUUUCACUUUGGGGAAAAUGGCAACCCUAGAAUAUAUGCUCUGAACGUGGUCUUACAGUUGUUGUAGUAAUAAUAAUUUGUUGAUUUGGAAUCCUAAAUGAAUAGGACACGGAGCAAUGGAUCCAAACUACAAGAAAGAAGAUUCCACCUAAACAUUAGGAAGAAUUUCCUGACAGUAAGAGCUGUUCAACAGUGGAAUUUGCUGCCAAGGAGUGUGGUGGAGUCUCCUUCUUUGGAGGUCUUUAAGCAGAGGCUUGACAACCAUAUGUCAGGAGUGCUCUGAUGGUGUUUCCUGCUUGGCAGGGGGUUGGACUCGAUGGCCCUUGUGGUCUCUUCCAACUCUAUGAUUCUAUGAUUCUAUUCUAUGAUUCUAAUAGCUAUAGUGGAGAAAGCAAGAAUCAGGUUCAUUAUUGCGAAAACUGCUGUCAGGCUCCCCGCACCCCCAAAAAUCUGUCACAAGAUGUCUGCAACUAGUUUGAAAAGCCAUCUACUCCAGAAACAAAUUUACUCCAUUAUCAACUGUCAUUAUUUGUAAGCAAAACUGAAUUUUAAUGGAGUGAAUACUCUGAAAUAAUUGGAUGACCAAGUUCAACAGUCCAUAUUAUAUAACCGUCCCAUGAGCAUUGUACACCAACAGUUUCCAAAGAAUCCAAGAGAAAUAGCUGACUGAAAAAAAAUAGAAUUCCCCAGGUCCACGCAGAGGCAUAUUUCAGUCCAUAAGAAUGCAACCCCAGUUCAAGACGUAUCUGAAAUCCUCUUUCUGGCUUAAAAAAAGAUCACUAUCAACUGUUACAUUAUCCUUUAUUCAGCAGAAUGUUGAGAGCUGCGCUUUUCACACCAAUAAUAUUUUUGAACACAAAAUAUAUAUCAACAUUGUUUCUUCUAAAGAGCUCUUAUCAAACCAUAUAAGUCUUAGGAAGAUUACCUAUUCCUAGAACUGCCUUAAUUUUGUUUCUUCUUCAUUUUACACAUUUAAAAUGCCCAACCAAAGAAAAUGAAUGUGUAUGCUGUAGAUUUUCAUAGUGGAUUCAGCCACCCUGCUAUUUCAUUUUUCUCAUGGCUUUCUAAUAUUUCCAGAUGUUGCUUUUACUCAGCUAAUAGCUCCACUAUGCUUAAUUGAGGUUUUGGUAUUACCAAAAUGGCCUCUGAUUGGCUUUAUUGUCUGUUGCAUUUCUGGUCUGUUGACUGUAAUAAAACUGAUGGUGAUUUCCUGUAGAUAGUAGAAAGCAAUAUAAAUAAUUGUACAGUUGUUAAGAAUGGGUAGGAAGUACUGUAUUUUUCGCUCUAUAAGACGCAUCAGACCACAAGACGCACCUAGUUUUUGGAGGAUGGAAAACAAGAAAAAAAAUAUUCUGAAUCUCAGAAGCCAGAACAGCAAGAGGGAUCGCUGCGCAGCGAAAGCAGCAAUCCCUCUUGCUGUUUUGGCUUCUGGGAUAGCUGAACAGCCUGCAUUCGCUCCAUAAGACGCACACACAUUUCCCCUUACUUUUUAGGAGGGAAAAAGUGAGUCUUAUAGAGCGAAAAAUACGGUACAUUCGCUCUAAGCAGCAAUAUAAAUUCCGCCAUAAGGGGGCAAACCGACGGCAAGAUCUGCUGGGAUAAGCAGUUUAGGAUGCAGAGGAUUUCUGGCUCGAUUGGUUGAUUCCCAGUUUAGCAGGUGUUAGGUCCCCAACUCCUGUUCAGCUCAUAUAUGCCAGCUUAGCUUGCUACAUAGAUGCUGGCUGAGCCAUGGCCAGUGUAAGUCUUCAAAAAUGUGCAUUGUGGGAUGAGGACCAGGGUGGGGUGGGGCUUAGGCUCGAUCCUAAGCCCUUUCAGUGUUGUCACAUGACCUGGCAACCUGUCAGGCAGCAGAGGAACCAUCCCCCUUGGCAGGUUGCCAGGAAUGGAUAAGACAAGGAAAAGUCCUUACCAUCUGCUUUUUAUUCAAUAUUCACAGAGAGAGGCUUGGAAAUGCAGCCUCUUGGAAGAAUGGUGUCCUGAGUAAAUCUCUACCCCACCCCCCACCCCUCUACUUCAUUCAUCAACAGCACCACCACCCGUACGGUUGCUGCUUACGGCCAUCUGUCCCCGAGCUCUCCUACUUUUAAGGGUUGCCGGGUUCUGGGAGAUGUUGGGUCUGGAAUGCUUUCUAGUGAUAAUGUGUCAGCCAGCCUCCCCCUCCUCCUCUCCCAUUAUUUCCCAGCUUUCUCCCUCAUCUUCCUCUGAGCUGUGAUUUGCCACAAACCAGAUCUGAACUGUCUUCUUCUUCUCUGGAAGGGUCAGGCUAGGGAAGUGGUCUCCACCAUUCCUCCUCUGGCAUAGAACAUGAUUUUAAAGGCUUCUGUCAUACCCUCCAACAUUUCUCCAAUGAAAAUAGGGAGUUCCUAUUCUAUAAGACUAGGAAAAACGAUAAUUUUAUUAUUUAUGCCCUGCCCAUCUGACUGCGUUGCCGCAGCCACUCUGGGUGGCUUCCAACAUAUAUAAAAGCAUAGUAAAACAUUAAACACUUAAACAAAAAACCCUUUCCUAUACAGGGCUGCCUGUAUAGAUGUCUUCUAAAAGUUGUAUAGUUACUUAUCUCCUUGGCUUGGGAAGCAAAUAACUCCAUACCCUCCAACAUUUCUCCAAUGAAAAUAGAGUUGUUCUAAGGAAAAGUGGGACAUUCUGGGAUCAAAUCAGAAACCAAGAUGGCUUCUGUAAAUCCAGGACUUGAAAAUAGGGGCAUUUGGUGGGGUCUGUUGCUUUCCCUCUGUCUUUUACUCUGUUAUCACCAGUUUGGGCACUGCUUUCCUUCUGGGUGAAGAUAGAGGAAAAGUAGGUGUUGAGCAGUUCCGCCUUUUCUCUGUCACUUAAUGGCAUGUUUCCAUUUCCCCCAUACAGAUGUUAGGUUAAGAUGUUAAUCUGCAUCUACUAAGUGCACAUAAAAGUACAAGGAAAGGCGCAAAAGGGAACACACACUCCUUCAUUUAUCGUAUGCGAGCCUGUACCUUUUUCACCAGAUAAUCCUCAAGGCAAGAAAUAGAACAUUUGUUUAAAAAGUUAUGAGGAUAAAAUAAAAUAAAAAAUUGCCACUUCAGUCAAAAUAGAAAAACAGAAGAGAACUGAGCAUCACUUGCCAUUUUAUUUUGUCUCCGGUUACGAAGUGCUGGAAACAGCUAGAGCUAAAUAUUAUGGCAGAUGAAAAUCUGUUGCCCCUUCUAUCGCUGUCGUCUUUCCCCUGCAAACAUCUAGGGGGACUCAAAGCACAAACUGACAUUGUACUGUCAGGUUUGCCUUCCUCUAAUUCCUUGGCUGUCCUCCAGGCUUCUCUGUCUGGCGCAUGGCAGUCUCCUCAGGCCACACCCCCACUAGUCCUGCUUUAUGCUUUCAUUGAGGUUUUAUUUUAUUUUAUUUUAUUUUAUUUUAUUUUAUUUUGACUGGCUGGAAUGUAUUCUUGACCUCUGAUAAUGUUUCUGGCUCAUCUGAACGGAAGAUAGAGAGGAAUGUGCGAGAGCACAAAGGUGAACUACGGGCUCCGCGCUUCAUCCACUUUUGCUUCUGUCAUCUGACCCUCGUAAAGUUGCCAAAAAAAUGAAUAAUGCCCUCUGUCUGAAAAAUAUUCCCAAUACUGUUAUGCUGCAUGCAUCGUUUCCAGCUGCUCUAGAGAAGACAACUACAUACUUGCAGUAGGCAAACAUUUGCCAUAGCAUCUAAUGUCACCAUUAUUGGUUGUUUUCGUUCCCCCUCCUGUUGAGACACGGGUCAUUCCCUUUAAUUUUGCUGAGGAAGUAGACACCUCAGUUUACAACACUUCCAGACUGAAUCUGGCCAAGCCCAAAGUAUUUUUUCACCACCGAAAGGGGUUAUUAAAUACAUUAUUUGUGUGUGUGGGGGGGAAGCAGGUGUGAAGUUUGUCGAUUUUGCUGUAAACAUGAACAUGAAGAGUGCUGUUCUGAAGAAGGGAGGAUAGAAACAGAAAAGAUGCAGCCCAUUCAAUCAAAUUAUCUCGUUUUAGCUUGUAGCUUAAUUCUCUGCCACAAGAAAACAAAGUUUUGACUUGGCAAUGGCUGAAUCUCAGCAGGACAACGUGGAAAAGUACUUGAUAGUAUAGUUCUCCGAUUCCCUUCCACAGAAAUUGAAAGAGUAUGAUUAGCACCGUUAGUUAUGACAUUUUCAGACUUUGUCUGGCAUGAUCCAUCCCCUCCCUUUUAGGAAAGGAAAGCCAUUCAUAAAUUCUUUUGCAGUGUUUUGUGUGUGUGUGAUGGAAUGGCCGUUUCUAAUUCCGAAUGACUUCUGAAAAGCGGUUUCUCCAGCUCUGGUCUUUUUCCUAAUCUUGCAUGUAGUCAGCUAAUUACUAGUCAGAGUCAAGAGCAUUCAGCAAUAGGACCUUUCCCAGGCUCUGACUUGCACUCCCCCCCUGCCACCAUGUAACACGGCCAGUCUAUCAGCUGUUCGCUGGAUAUUGAACAACAGCUGCCAUCCACAGCAAACAUCCGGCUUCUACUGAGUGCCAUAAAGGGCCAAUUGACAGGCGCAAGCUUCAGAAUGCAGAGGAAUGCAUCCACAAUUACAGUGUCAUUCUUAAGGGUAUAAUAGUUCUAGCAGAAACAGAAAAAAGAGGGUAGGUUGACCACCCAUAUGAACAGGACUGUUGGGACUGUAGGUCAGGGAAAGAGCACAGACUAUGCAUGCAAAACUCCUUUUCUGGCAACUCCACGUAGGGCUGAGAGACUUUGACCUGAAAUUUAGGAGAGUGCUUCCGGGUUCUGUCCUGGGCCCGUUGUUGUUCAACGUCUUUAUAAACGACAAAUGCUAUUCUAGGCUACAUCAACACAAGUAUAGUGUCCAGAUCAAGGGAAGUAAUAGUACCAUUCUCUUCUGCCUUGGUCAGACCACAACUGGAAUACAGUGUCCAAUCCUUGGCACCACAAUUAAAGAAGGAUGCUGGCAAGCUGGAACGUGUGCAGAGGAGGGCAAUCAAGAUGAUCUGGAAACCAAGCCUUAUGAGGAACGGUUGAAGGAGCUGGGUAUGUUUAGCCUGGAAAAGAGGAGACUGAGAGGAGAUAUAAUAGCCAACCUCAAAUAUCUCAAACUUGUUUUCUCCUGCUCUGGAGGGCACGACUUGAACCAAUGGCUUCAUUUAGCAUUUGAAAAAUGAAAGAGAGAAACAGAAAUUGGUGGAAAGUGGCUUGGUCAAAGCCACUCAAAGAGCGUCAUGGAUGAGUGUCUUCCUGGACCAUAUUCAAAAUCUGCUCCAUUGCACAACAUCUAUCUGUCUGUCUGUCUGUCUGUCUGCAGUGAUCUUAUAUGCCAUUUAGAUCCCAAAGUCACAGGAUGCCUUUUCUCAACCAAUGUGGUUUAGAUCUAGCACCAGAGAGUGUUACGUGAGCCUUCACUUAAAUACUUCACAAUGUUUAAUACCCAUGUUUGUAGAGACACAAACACUCCUUAGUGACAGAAUUAUCUCGACAAUGCACAAUUAUUACCAAGUGAAGUAAAAAAAAGAAAAAGAAAAAGUAUUUUGGAUUUAAUGAGGAGGAAACUGGGAUGUUGCAACUCCCUUGAAAUGUAGAUUUCUACUUCAGCCUAACCCAUUAAGUUUUUAGGGGUUUUUUUAGUUUUUGAGGCUGUGGUAUUUGGCAUCAUUUCUUCUGUUCUUUUGAUAAGUACCUAAACAGGAUGUCCUUGUAAAUUAAAUGAAAAACAGCUCUGGAAGGUUUCCUCCCUCAGGAAUAAGCAUUAAGAUUGGCAGAUGGUUUAAGUGGAAAUACACAGGAAUGCACUUUAGCCACUACUUGGAAAUUGUUCCUGCAGAUAUUACCAAGGUAGAUUCACAAAGUCCCAUUGGGCAUCUGUCUGCAAUGAGUCAGUUUCUAAUGGCCUGGAGCAGAAUCCUUUAAUCCAAAUUGUUUUCAAACCACCAUAGUCUUAAGAAGUGAAAUGUAAAAAUAACUUGGAAGUUAAUGAUCAUCUCAGCUAACUUCUCACGGCAUGCUCUUUAAUGUUGCUGGUAUUAGCCUAGAUAGUGAUGAUUUAGUUCAUCAUAACCCCAGAAGCCUUCCAGAUUAAUUCAUCGUUUUGGGGGCAACUUUUUACAAACCAUGAUCCAGCAUGGCUUGUAAAAAGGUAACAGAGUCACUCACUCUCCUGAAAUACAUCCAUGAAGGUCAGUAGGAACCCAGUCAAAGCCUACAUCUGCAUCAGAUAUGUUCCUUUUUGCUGGAUCGCAAUGCCUUAAUUUUAAGGGGCGGAUCUGCACUCAUGGUUUUUAACGUUAAGGAAGGGUUAAGGAAUGGUUUUGAUAACUAUAUGAACAUGUGACUACUUUUAACGUUCAUAAUGUGUUAUUAAAAUGUGACACUAGAGGGCAUGGCAGAGAAAUCAGCAACUGACAGUAGGGAAACAGCGUUAUGACAAAAGAAACAAAGGUGAAAAAAAGGAGAGUUUAUUUACAAGUAUGCCGUUACAUUUUAGAAUGAUAUCUCUAAUAUUGUUCUAAUAACGUUAAACAGGUCAAUGUCGAUCCAGCCAAGGUUUCCUCUGCUAACUAUACUGUGGAAGACUGUGACUGUGGCUGGAUCUACACACAGGGGAAAAACCCACUAUAAAUAAGUCAUAAAUUAGAUUGUUAUAACAAAAGAAAAAAACCCUGUGUAAAAUUGCGUAGACAAAUUUUGUGCUCUACAGUGCCAUCUGGUGUCACAUCUGUACAAUGGUGUUACAACUGCGUGUAGCUGAGUCCUGUGUUCCUCUUCACUCUGCUGCCAGGUGCUAACCGCUGCUGGGCAGUUUCAAGUCCCCUGGUUUCUUUAGCUUUAAAACAGCGCUUUUUAAGAGAAGAUGCUUCAAAUAGAAAACUGUUCUUUGUGAAGUAAGAUACUUGGACACGAUUCCGUGAGGCUUCCCACUUUCCCCCCCAAGCGUGCCACAUGGUUGGUCAAUGAUGGUUUACAAUUCACGGGGAUGCAGGAAAAGGGUGUAACAUUUGGGCUGAAGGUGCAGGGCAGUGGGUGUCUAAUGGCAUUUGAGAGAGUGCCUCUCUGGGAUCGCCUCUCCUGGUAUGCCCCGCAGAGGACCUUAAGGUCCACAAAUGACAAAACUUUGGAGGUCCCAAGUCGUAAGGUAGUUAGGUUGGUCUCAACUACGGCCAGGGCCUUUUCAGUACAGGCCCCGACUUGGUGGAAUGCUCUGUCACAAGAGACUAGGGCCCUGUGGGACUUGACAUCUUUCCACAGGGCCUGCAAGACAGAGCUGUUCCCCCUGGCCUUUGGUUUGGACUCAGUCUGACCCUUAUGUUUCCCUCCCCUUAUGGUUUUGAUCUAUGGGCUACUAUUAAAAUGAGGCUGCAUUUUAAAUUGUAUUUUAACCCGUAUUUUAAAUUGGUUCCCCCUCCCUCCCAUUAUGUUUUUAUUGUAAUUUUACUAGUGUCAGCCGCCCUGAGCCCGGCUCUGGCCGGGGAGGCAGGUAUUCAUCAUCAUCAUCAUCAUCGUCGUCGUCAUCUUUUGAGGUGGAUGAAAAGCGUUGCAUCUUCGUAAAGCUGUUGGUUUGCAUUGAUAGAAACUCAUCAGAAUGAAGGAGAUAGCAGGUCAGACUUUGCCACAAACUUCUGCUGUAAUCUGAGUAGUGUUUGACUCUCCUUUGUAACAUAUGUGCAAACACUGUUCAGAACAAAAGGUACUCUUUAAGUCCUCAACAGCCCUAGAAUGGAGCCCAAGGCCAAGCAAAGUACUGCCACUGGGACUGCCAGUGGGUUUAAGAGUUCUGCAGGAU